ensembl:lncRNA
CUUUGCAGCACACAUACAUACCUCUUGCUGCUCUCAGUGGUCUCCAACAGGGCGGAGUCCUUGCCAUUGCCAGAGGAGGAGCUAUGUGAGCUCCGCUGGGAUGCACCCCUGGACUCAUUCCCAUUGGACUCAUUGCCACUUGAGCCAUUGCUAUUGGCAUCGGUGUCAUCAGCCAGGCUGGGGCCUGGGCAAGGGCGCGUGGUGGGGGCCAGGGGAUGGGACUUCUCUAGGACAAAAGGAUUCUCCUGGCCUAGGGUCCCCUCCCCCAUCAGCCCCUUCCAAGGGGCCACUCAUGUCUGGGCCAUGUGGAGGUGAACAGGAAAACAGAGAGGGUGGAGAUGUCACCACGCACACCCAAGGGGGCUUUGAGGCCUGGCUGAGGGAGUGAGGUGGAAUCUGUCUCUGAGGAUUAAGAGUGAUCACAGCCAGCACCUAGAAGAGGAGGCCAGAAAGGAGAGUUUGAAGAAAGCUUAUCGAUUUACCCCACAGCACCUGCCAGCUUCAUUCAGCCCGUCUUGCUUGCCCCACGUUCCUGGGACCCAGGCCUGGAGCUUCCAAUAGGGAACCAAGGUAAAUUCUGUUUCUGUCCUCGUAAAGGUGCUGCAGCUGGGUAAAGAAGCUCUUUAGGGCCUUCCCCCACAUUCCCUGCCAGCGUGACCUGGGUAAGUGGAGCCUGAUCAAUCGACUAGAACUAUGGCCAUGGGCCAAAACCUGAACGUUUCACAUUCCGUGGUUCCUAUAAGGCCCACACUAGGCCAGGGACUCCAAGGCUGCAGAAUUUUUGGGUGAACUGAUCGCCUCCUAUAUUUAGGCUUCGGGGCUAAUUUUAUCCAGGGGCGGCACCACCCCCGCUGCACAUGCGCACCGACAUGCGGGGCCCACCACGCGCUUCCCGCCGCCGCUGCGGUCGCCAAGGAAACCGACGUCAGCUGCUGAGCUCAGCGGUUGCUGGAGGGACCCACAGGAGGCUCCCAACCACCAAGACUAAAGCCGGCACCUGCCCUCGUCAAGGAUCCAGAAAUCCCUCUCCUCGGUCUUACUUUUCUAGCCCGUGCACCGAAGCCUUGGGCAGGAGACGCACAACAGUCAUCACAGUUCUGCCUUUACUACCCGUCCUAGCACACUCCCAUCCCCGAACAUUUUCAGAGCGCCAGGAAAAAAGGAAGGCUGUGGCCAACAGCAGGAACUAACGCUGGGAACGGGAUGUUCCUGUUCGAAGCGGGCUUACAUCACGGGCGGCGCAGGGCCAGGGACUGGGGGGGGAGCGCCAAAAGCCUGAAGGGGUCUUGUUGCCAGUGCAAACCUGGAGACCCCUGAGUGACAAGAAAGGAGACAGGCGGCAACCCCGCGGUGGGUCUGUUGUGGGGCCGGGAUGGGUGGGGCAGGGGAGGAAAGCUGGAGGUAAGGUGAGCAGGUCAGGAAUGAGAACUCCGAUGCAGGGUAGUGAGGAGCACCGAGGUCCCCAGGGCCAGAGAAUGGAUGGACAGCAACAAGGAAGACAGAUUAGUGUCGUCCUGUCUGAGCGCCUGAGCCCAUAAGAUUGGAAGUGGCGCCGGCCCGGCUCGGGGACGAAGACUGGCUAUGGGGUGGCCACGGAGAUGCCUACCUGGCCGUGCGAGCGCCCUCCAGCCGCCUGCUCGAUGCCGUUUCCAGCCCGCAGCCGAGUAGAAGCUCUGCGAGGCGGGGAGGCGGGUUGCAUAAUACCAGGCGCUGCCCCUCAUUGGCCUCCAGCCCGCAGAGCCGUAGGCUCCGCCCUCGAUUGGCUGGGGAUCACCCUGGCGCCUGAUUGGCUACUGGCCUCCACUGAGGUCAGGGCUGUGUCACACAUAUGGGCGCACGUGGACCUGGGUGCUGGCACUGGGCUGAAGGGCUGCAAACACCGCCCAAUGGAAACAGGACGGCUUGCACAGUGAAUAAUGGAAGGAAAAUGAGGGGGAGGUAAGUUGGCCCUCUUUGGGGAAAAUGCCCAGGCCACAGUGAGUGCUCAAGAAAUGUAUACUUCCUAAACUGACCAGCCUUACCAAACAGGACAACUUGGCCUAUCCAGGGGUAGGGAAAAGGAAGGCAGGCGUUGGGAGCUGGACCAAACUCGAUGAAAUGGCUGGACCCUGUAAGGAACUUUAUGCGGGGGGGACGACAAAACCCGGCUUGAUCUUUCCUGGGUUCUCUCCAGCCUUGUCAUCAUACAUAAUGAAGCUAACCUGGUCCUCUGACACUUCAAAUCCUAAAAGAAGGGCAAGUGAGGGUCCACGUGUGACUGGAGGGUGAGUGGGUGGAGGGAGAAUACAGACAACGGAAGGGGCAGCCAGAGCCAAUGGAGGUUGUGAAGGGAAACAAUGACAGGUGUUUCCACAGCCAAUCGGAGAAUAGGUCUCCCCGCAGGCUACAUAGUGACUAGUGCUUCUCUCCACAGAGCCACCCACACUUAGGACUGCCCCAAAAGAGAGGGCCAGAAAGCUAGGGCUAUAGAGGGAGGAAGGGGGCAGCAAAGACAAGAGGCCAGCUGGAGCCCUAGACAGAGAAGGGGGAGGGGUGUGAUCCCCACUGCUUGAAAAAAGGAAAAGAUUUGGGGGCCCAGUUGGGACUUCAUCUCCUAGUCACUGUACUCUGUAGUGCUCAGAACAGGACCUCAACACAUGAUAGGUGAUUGAUAAACAUGACAAAAUGAUAAUUUUGUAUGUAAAAUGGAUAGGUGUAGGAGGUAAGGAAUGAGGCUCAGAGGUGCAGAGGGGGUCUGAAAAUUGUCAUUUCUUUAAAGAAGGAAAGAGCAGAGCACUGAGCCCUAAAAGGAGAAUAGAGGCUUGAUUUGGGGGAAUAAAGUGCCCGCUUGCAACCAGGAGAACUGUUACACAGCUCCUUCAUCCAGUCAGUAUUAAGUACAGUAGUUCCUCCCAGGGAUUCAUGGAACUGUGGGUAGCAGGUGAAGCAAGUCCCAGGCAACUGCUAACACAGUCAGAUGUGAGUGCCUGCCCCUCCCUGUCACGUGGCCUAAGCUUUCCUUAACAAUGGUGUUUCCCUUGGGUGGGUGAGAGGGACGGGGGCCGCUCUGUGGAAAAGCUGGGACACAGGAGUGUUAUAAAAUAACCCAGAAAAACCGAAGCAAGAAAACAAAACAAAGGAUACAGGAGCCUGAUUCUCAAUCUCCUUGAAACUGAUGCUGUCCUCCCCAACCCACCCCCAUAUACUGUGGAUCUAUCCUUGUGUCAUUUCCAGAACCUCUUCUCUGGAAACAGUUUUUCUCCUCCCCAGCUCUCCUUGGGGAAUUUAGGUGUGAACUCCCCUGACCCAGGCAGUCCUUGCUCGCCCACCUCCAGAUCUGUCUUUUACGUAGAAAAAAAGGUGCUGAGCUCCAGCAGUCUCCACCCACUCCUAAGGCCCAGGUCGUCCUG